UACGUAGGCAGCAAGCGUUGUUCGGAAUUACUGGGCGUAAAGAGUGUGUAGGCGGUGCUCUAAGUUUGGUGUGAAAUCUCCCGGCUCAACUGGGAGGGUGCGCCGAAAACUGGAAUGCUUGAACAUGGGAGAGGAAAGCGGAAUUCCUGGUGUAGCGGUGAAAUGCGUAGAUAUCAGGAGGAACACCUGCGGUGUAGACGGCUUUCUGGACCAUUGUUGACGCUGAGACACGAAAGCGUGGGUAGCAAACAGG
rnacentral:rRNA from 1 species